rnacentral:rRNA from 1 species
CAGGGAUUGCCUCAGUAACGGCGAGUGAAGCGGCAACAGCUCAAAUUUUAAAGCCGGCGUCCUCGACGUCCGCGUUGUAAUUUGGAGAGGCAUCUUCGGUUAGGGCGCCAGCCUAUGUUCCUUGGAACAGGACGUCACAGAGGGUGAGAAUCCCGUGCUUGGCUGGCUGUCCCUCUCCAUGUGAAGUGCCUUCGACGAGUCGAGUUGUUUGGGAAUGCAGCUCAAAAUGGGUGGUAAAUUUCAUCUAAAGCUAAAUAUUGGCGGGAGACCGAUAGCGCACAAGUAGAGUGAUCGAAAGAUGAAAAGCACUUUGAAAAUAGAGUUAAAAAGUACGUGAAAUUGUUGAAAGGGAAGCGCUUGAGACCAGACUCGGCCGGAGACGAUCAGCGGUCCUUCUGGGCCGUGCACUCGUCUACGGUCGGGCCAGCAUCGGUUGGGACGGCGGGAUAAAGGCCCGGGGAAUGUGGCUCCUUUCGGGGAGUGUUAUAGCCCCGGGCGCAAUGCCGCCAGCCCCGACCGAGGACCGCGCUCUUUUGCUAGGAUGCUGGCGUAAUGGUCUUCAGCGACCCGUCUUGAAACACGGACCAAGGAGUCUAACAUCUAUGCGAGUGUUUGGGUGUCAAACCCUUGCGCGUAAUGAAAGUGAACGGAGGUGGGAACCCCUCGCUCGGGGGGCGCACCAUCGACCGAUCCUGAUGUCUUCGGAUGGAUUUGAGUAGGAGCAUAGCUGUUGGGACCCGAAAGAUGGUGAACUAUGCCUGAAUAGGGUGAAGCCAGAGGAAACUCUGGUGGAGGCUCGCAGCGGUUCUGACGUGCAAAUCGAUCGUCAAAUUUGGGUAUAGGGGCGAAAGACUAAUCGA